rnacentral:misc_RNA from 1 species
GAUGAAGAACGUAGCGAAAUGCGAUAAGUAAUGUGAAUUGCAGAAUUCAGUGAAUCAUCGAAUCUUUGAACGCACAUUGCGCCCGCCAGUAUUCUGGCGGGCAUGCCUGUUCGAGCGUCAUUUCAACCCUCAGGACCCUUUGGACCUGGUGUUGGGGCUCGGCCGCUACCCCGCGGCCGUCCCCGAAAGAUAGUGGCGGUCUCGCUGUAGCGUCCUCUGCGUAGUAAUUACACCUCGCACUGGAACGCGGCGCGGCCACGCCGUUAAACACCCCACUUCUCAAGGUUGACCUCGGAUCAGGUAGGAAUACCCGCUGAACUUAAGCAUAUCAAUAACGGAGGA